GAAAAUGUGUGCCAAUUCUGACUAAAGAGAUGUGAGGAAAAGUUUCCUGCAGAUUUCUGGAAAGGUUUUCCUCAAAGAUAAAAAUGGGAAGCUCCGCCCUUUCUCCCACCGUCCACAAAGAAUGAAGCCUAAACUCCAGUGCCACUGUUGACAAUAACCAUGAGGUCAUUCAACCUUAGGAGAAAACCACAUUGCUGGUAACCAAGUGAAAAGGGAGAAUUUCACAGUGCGAAUUUUGAACUCUGCUUGGGAACCUCUUUGAAGAUCAGCCAGAAGAUGAUGGAAGUGCAAAUAACAUGCAGAAGCUCACAGCUGUCCUUCUGUAGUUCAUGCUGAGCCGGCAGUCAUUCUCCCAACAUGACAGAAGUCAGAUUACCCUGAGCAUCAGCCUUUUACAGCACAGAACAUGGGACUUCAUUAAAUCUCAGCAUUUACAUAUUCAUGUAAGUAAUUUUUUUCAUUAUGAGUUACUAGUUCAUAUCAUCAUCUUGUUUGGGGUGGAGGCAAGUGUCAGCUCUUUAAAGUACCUAGGCAUUAUCUCUCUUUCAUUAAAAUACAUUUUUAAAAUUCUACAUAAUCAGUACUAUUACCUCCAGUUCCAUUAAAUACCAGAAAAAAAAGCACCCGAAGAGCUAUUUUGCAUUGUAAUAUUUAUU